CCUAAAGAUUUGUUUGUCCUUCAGCCAGGAAAAUCUUACCUCACUACUCAUAGAAUGAAUCAUUCCUUCCACCUGUGCUCACUUCUCUUAUUGCCCUUGCUGCACAGUAUUAUAAUUUAUUUGUUUAUAUGCCUGCCAGUUUCCUGCAGUCAAGGAGCGUAAGAUGUGGCAAAGCGAAAGUCAGAGAGAUCAAGAUAAUGAGAGGAACAAUUUGACAAGGAAUGCAGGUUGCCAUAGGGAACCAAGAGCGGCUCCUGACUGACAGCCAGCAAGGAAAUGGAGACCUCAGCCACACAGCCGCAAGGAGUUGAAUUCUGUCAACAACCUAAAUAAAACUGAAAGCACACUCUUCCCCAGAGGUACCAGACAAAAGCUCAGGUAAGCUGACACCUUGAUUUCACCCUUAUGAGACCUGGAACAGAGGAACCAGUCAACUCUUGCUGGACUUCUGACCUACAGAACUGUGACAUAAUAAACUUGAGUUGUUUUAAGCCACUAAAUUUGAAGUGUUUUGUUUCAGCAGCAAUAGGAAAUUAAUAUAAUUAUCUUUAUAUAGUUUGAAAACAUGAAAGCAAGGAUUUUCUGUUUUGAUCCUUAGCACCAAGGCACAGCAAUUAUUAAUAAAGUGUGGCCCGG
rnacentral:lncRNA from 10 species